rnacentral:rRNA from 1 species
GACGAAUGCUGGCGGCGUGCCUAAUACAUGCAAGUUGAGCGAUGAAGAUUGGUGCUUGCACCAAUUUGAAGAGCAGCGAACGGGUGAGUAACGCGUGGGGAAUCUGCCUUUGAGCGGGGGACAACAUUUGGAAACGAAUGCUAAUACCGCAUAACAACUUUAAACAUAAGUUUUAAGUUUGAAAGAUGCAAUUGCAUCACUCAAAGAUGAUCCCGCGUUGUUUUAGCUAGUUGGUGAGGUAAAGGCUCACCAAGGCGAUGAUACAUAUCCGACCUGAGAGGGUGAUCGGCCACAUUGGGACUGAGACACGGCCCAAACUCCUACGGGAGGCAGCAGUAGGGAAUCUUCGGCAAUGGACGAAAGUCUGACCGAGCAACGCCGCGUGAGUGAAGAAGGUUUUCGGAUCGUAAAACUCUGUUGGUAGAGAAGAACGUUGGUGAGAGUGCAAAGCUCAUCAAGUGACGGUAACUACCCAGAAAGGGACGGCUAACUACGUGCCAGCCGCCGCAGUAA